GGGCUGGGGCUCAGCGGUAGAGCACUUGCCUUGCACGUGUGAGGUCCUGGGUUUGAUCCUCAGCACCACA
rnacentral:tRNA from 1 species